GUUGUCUUCGUAUACUUUUCCAUAUUUUAUUUCCAGGUCAUUAAUAUUGCUUGAUUUCUCUCGAAAAUGUGUAUCAACCUCCGGCGGCAGCAUUUUCACCCACCCCUAGGUAUUAAAAAAAAAGAAAAAGAAUAUGCACAAAGAUCACAUUUGCAUGUGUUAUAUAUACACACGCAGACGCACACAUAUAUCACCAAUAUAGUCUCUCUCAACCUCAAGUCUCCAUAUAUAUAUAUACACAUAAUUAUCAAUUGUAGAAAGAUUGAUUCAAAACCACUUUUUUAUUUUUUAUUUUUGCUGUGUUAGUGGUUAGUAACCUUGGAGUUAUGACAUUUGGUACUUAAAACCCUCCGAUUUCAGAUUUCUUGGUUUCAUAGACAACAAUUCUUCAAGUCCGUUGGAUGACAUACGAAAUGCCUUAGCAAAGUCAUCACGUGGAGUUAUAAGAAGCAAGCUACAACAACAUUACCAACCUAAGAAGCUGAGUACGUCGCUACAACUUCAGCUACUUGUUAAGCUAUUUGGCUAAGAAUGGUGUUAAUAGAUCUUCAACAAUAACAAAUGGAGAAAUAAAGAUAUUUUGUGAGAACAAAACAACAAUCUUUGUGAUAAAUAACUUAAUAUUUUAUUGGGAUCUAGUGCUCUUAUUGUAGUAAUAUCGUUAAAUGUAUUUGAAAAUUUUCAAACAUAUUGAUUUAAUAAAAUUCUUUCUAUCAUUCUCAUUAAAAUUUAUUUUUGCAUACAAAGUAAAAUGUAAGCAAAUAUUAAUUCACUAAUUAUUUAAUAUUUAACUAAUAUUAAGUUGUAUUAUGUGGUUAGAUAGUAAUACAAUAAGAUAACUUAUAUUAGUAGAUAAUCUAAAUAGUUCAUUAGAAGACAAUUAUGUCGUCUAUCAAGUCCAAUUAGAGAGGCAUUUUGUCUUGAGCAUCGGAGUGAAUGGCUCCUAGAGAUAGAGACAUAAAUGUGAUUGUAUAGACUGGCAAUACAUUGGACAAAACCUAAACAUAAUAAAUUCUAGAUUUUUUAUUGAUUUAUUCGCUUAUGGCAUUCAUUGUGUAACUUAUCUCAAUUUUUAGUAAGUAACGGACUCUAUGCGCAUGACUUACAUACUUUGAUGUAUUAAAAGCCUGAACUCAAUUGGUAAUAGAUUUGGAAGUUGGUAAGUUGGGUAUACAACUUCAGCAUGACAUAGAUUCCCUUACAAUAGUGGAAUCCACAGUCCAAUAAAAGGUAAAUACUAUUCUCUCAUCGACGUUACAUAAUAGAUGAAAAAGUAACAUGGUCAUGAGUCAUUUGUCUAUGACGAAUGAUUUAAUUAUUAUUUAUUAGUAAUUGAUUUUUUUUGAAGAAGAUGUAAUGAUUACCAUGUGACAAAGUAAGACCACAUUGAGUAAACAGAUUUAACCCAAAGAGAUUUAAGAUAUUCGAUAAGGGUAACACAUAGACUUGUCCAUGGGUCAGGCCACACCUAAAAAUUGGGAGGGUCUGAGUAAAAAUAUAGGCCCCAAAAAAAUAGGCUUGGAUAAAAAUAAUGCCCAUUUCUAAACGGUUGGGCCUCAGUAAGUUUUUUUUGCCUGGGCUCGACCCAGCCCGAAUUUGAAAAAAAAUUGGUACUAUUUUUUACUAUUUUUCCAUUAUUUUGCUAUCAUUUCACUAUUAUAUUGGUAUUAUAUUAUUUUUAUUGUUUGGAUAUUGUAUGACUCUUAUUUUAUUAUUAAUUUUGUUACUAAUGUAGAGGUAUUUGCUUGCUAAAUUGCACUUAUUUUAGUGGUAUUUAAGUAUAUAUAUUUACAAUUGUUGGGAAACAUUUACUUUUUUAUGUUUUUAGUGUAUUUUAUAUAUUAUAUUUUUAAAUUUAUUUUUAUAUAAAAAUAAUAUAAAAUUUUUAAUACGGGCAGGCUAGGCUGAGCUCAAUUUUUAGCAUUUUUAUCUGGGCCGGGCUUAGAAAAAUUUUAGGCUCAUUUUUCGGGUUGGGCUGGAGCCUAAAAAAUGGGCCUAAAUUUAUUACUCGACCUAGCAUGAACACGUCCCAACCCAUGGACAACUCUAGUAACACACAUAUGGCAAAGUUAUUGAACAAGCAUUUAAUAAGUAGCUUUCGUAAUUGUAUAUAAUAAGGGAGAACUCAGUCAUGGUACUUUAGUAGGAUGACUCUACGACUAAAUAAUGUUGUAAUUAAUAGACAAAGAGCUGAAACUUAAUUCUAAUUAUUUGAGCCUUAAUUAUAUAUAUUCAAUCGAUCUGUCUUGUAACUCAUUCUGUAACAGCUCGAUUUUGGGUCUAGUUGAAACUGUGAUUUCGGGACCACAAAUCCAACAAGAAAAGUUUUAUUUUUAUUAUAUUUUUAUGGUCUACAAUAUUAUGGGAUUAUUCUGUGAAAAUUUCGUACAAAAAUUUUGACAUUUGGGCACUCAAUUUAGUCAAAAGGACUAAAUCAUAAUAAGUGCAAAACUUGAGUUCUAGAAGCUAUAAGUAUUAAAUAGCUACAGAAUUUUUAGUGGAAGUCCUUAUGUGAAAUUAGCCCAUUAAUAAGUUAGUGGAAGAUAUUUGUUUGGUAUUUUUUAAAAUUAGUUUGAAAAGAAAAGGGCAAAUUGGUAAUUAAGUUAAUAAAGGUAUAAUAAGACAAAAUUUAAAAGCUAUCAUUUUUUUUUCUCUUCUUCAACCGUUUAUGAAGAAAAUGGGCAGCCACGGAUGAGCAAACAUUCAGCCAAGCUUCUGUAGCCCAUUUAGGUACGGUUUUUAUCCUAUUUUUUUUAUGAUUUCUACGUUUUUAGAGUCGUGGUAAUUCGAUUUAGCUAUUCCGUACCUUCGUUUCCAAAACUGUUAAAGUUUGAAAAUUUUUCCAUUGAUUAAUAUAUGUGUAUUUUGAUAAUUGAUGAUAGGAAAUGCAUCCUGCUUGUUAGAUAAACAACAUUUGUAAAAUAAUUUUUGAUAAAAAUGUCGAUUUAGGACUAAAUUGAGAAAUGUGAUAAAUUAUGUGGUAAAAGAGUGAAUAAGUGAAAUAUGUGGGCUGCUAUACGCAUGAAAAAGGUUCAAUUAAGCAUGGGUAGUAAAGAAAUUGAAAGAAAUUCAUUUUACGAGCUUAGGGGGAAAAGUGCAAAUAUGACAAACUUUAGGGGUAAAAAUGUAAUUUUACCAAAAAUGUGAAAUUGAGCUAAUUUGAAUAGCACGAUGAAUAAAUAAUUCAAAUGUUUUGUUAUAGAUCAAGGAAGACGAGAUUCAGACUUAGAAAGGGGGAAAAACAAAAAAUAUGACGAAUAAGUCCUUUUCACCGAUUAAGCUACCAAGGUAAGUUCGUGUGUAAAUAAUGCAACAUCACAUUAUUAUGUAUUUAAUGUUUUCAUAUAGCAUGAAUUGUAUAAUUGCUUUGUGAAUUCGGUUGAUGAUGUUCCAAUAUCGAUUUGAGAUCCCGUAUAAGACCAUAUAUGGGAUAUGACAUCAAUUUGAGAUUUUGUGUAAGACCAUAGCUGGGCUAUUGGCAUCGAUUUGAGAUUUCGUGUAAGACCAUAGCUGGGGCUAUUGGCAUCGAUACGAGAUUUCCAUGUAAGACCAUGUUUGUGACCUGGCAUUGGUACGAUACAUUAUGUAUGAGUUUUCUUGAGUAUCCUUACUAUUCCAAGUGGUUCAACAGGUAAUCCAAAGAUUAUGUUAAAGAAAAGACAAGGUAUAGUCAUGUUGAAAGGAUACAGGUAUGUACGAAAAAUUCAUGAGUAAUGAACUCGAUGUAUAUUAGACAUUUUGGCAAGAAUGUAAAUGAGUAAGUCAUACUUAUAAGAAUGAUCUUGUGAUGACCUUGUGAUUGUAGGUCUAUACUUAUGAGGUAUAAAUAUGUAGUAAAUUUGAUUGAUGAUUGUGUGAGGCUUUUAGGGAAAAUUAAAUUGAGACAUGAUAUGUUUAAGUCUUUGUUGUUGAUGUAUAGGUGAAAUUGGCCAAUGAAUGACAUGUAAAUACAUGAUAAUUAUUAGCUAUUGGAAUAGCUAGUUAUGGAUAUGCUUUGGUGUUAUGUGUGUCGAAAUAAAUGUUAAUAUAAAGAAAUCAUGAAAGAGUAAAAUUUGCAAUAAAACAGUUUUGGAUAGCAUCAAUUGUAUAAAUUUGAAAAAUCACCAAAAAUUGUGGGACUCAUAUUAGAGGUUGAAUAAAACUUGAAACUAAAUCUUAUUGAGUCUAGUUUCACAUAGAAGAAAUGGUGUAAGCAAAAGAAUCUCAUAUUAUGAGAUAUUUGAAUUUUUUGAGAUAAGGUCAGAAUGAUCUCAGAAUCCCCUGUUCUGACUUUAGAAAAAAAUUAAAAAUUGUAUAAAAAGAAUUAUGGGUUAUAAUUUAUAUGAUUAAAAUUCUUAAUGAGUAUAUUUUUGGGAGAAACAAACGGGAACAUCAUCCGAAUCCCGUACUAAGAUGACUUAAAGAAUAAAUUAAUUUCUUCGAAUUAUUAUUUAAUUGUUUGAAAUUAAAUAAUUAAAGUUUGAAGUGAAAAUUAAAUUAAUUAGUCACUACGUUUUAGUGAACAAACUAAUUAAAUUCAUUUACUCACAGACUAUAGUACGACAAAGUCUUCAUGACUUUAAUGGAAUUAGAAUUGGAUUGAAAAAAUAAAUUAAUUAGAAAAUUAAUUAAAUUAAAUAAUAUUUUUAAGAAAAAAAUUAUUAUUAGAUUGAUAAAUUAUAUAAAUUGAAUUAAAAACUAGAUAACAUAUAUAAUUAAUACCUAAUAUGAAAGGCAGGCCUAAAGGCUCAUCUCAGUAAUAAGGGACAGCUACCCCAAAUUCUAAAGAUGGGUGCAAUUGCCCUAUGUAUUCCCAUGAGAGAAUAUGUGUGUUUAUUUAUUAAAAUAAUAUGAUUUAUUUACCCUUUGUUCAACUGAGACUACUACAUUUUUCUCUAUAUAUAGAUACCAUUGUUUAGGUCAAAGGCACUCCACUAAAGUGUUGAUACUCUGUAACGAUCCAAUUUUCGUUAGUGUUGAAAAAUUCGAUUCAAGGUCGGUUUUAAUUAAAUUGAUUUUAUCAUAAAUUAGAAUUAAAUAAUUACAUGUCAGAUAAGUGAUUUAAUAAUAGUACAAAAACUAAAUUGCAAGUAUCAUUAUUAAUGAUAUAUGCUUAUUAUAGAUUUUGAUCAUAUUUGCUCCUUUUUGACAAAAUGCCUAAAAUUAUCCAUAGCCCCUAACCAAUAAAUAGGAGGAUAAUGCGCUUCAGCGCACUCGAACCUAUGUCCUCCUACAUUGGCAACAAUGCCCAUGACAAUCGAGUUUGUUAGUCCUUGGUUUACAUGAGAACGGGGGAACUUUGUUCAUAACAACAUCCAGAAGAGGUUGGAUAGGAGGUUGCCAAUUCAGCGUGAUGGGAUCUUUUUCUGACUUUUUCACUCAAGCAUUUGCCUAAUUCCAUUUCGAAUCACUGCCCUUUGUUGAUUAAUACUAUGUACUCAUUAUGCUAUAGUGUAAAGUAUUUCGGUUUGAGGCUUGGUGGAUUUUGGAGGAGUCUCGUGAACUGGAAAUUCGUUGUCUCUGGGAGAGCAAUGUGGAUGCAGUUCCCCAUCGACUAUCAUUGUUUUGUUAAAGAUUGAAAUAAAGGGCCGCAAGUUUGUGCACUAGUCGGAAUGGUGAUCUACGUCGCAUGCGCUCUCAUUUAACAAAUGUUAACAUGGUAGACAAAGAUGAUGAGACUUUACUCGAGCUUUUGAGCACAAAAAUUGAGUUGAAUUUAGAGGUUAACAAGAAAGAGUUGUAUUGGGAACAAAGGGCUCGAGUUAAUUGGUUGAAGUUGAGGGGAUCGAAAUACAGGGUUUUUUCAUAAAUCCGGCACCCAGAGAAAGAGGGAUAAUAGAGUUGGUUAUUUAAUUUAGGAGGAUGGUCGGUUGGGUGAUCCAAGUCGUGUCUUGGCGAGGGUUGCUCAUUGUAUUACUGUUAAUAUGAAUGUUGCGUUUAUGGCUUAGUUUAUGAGUGCAAAUAUUCUUUUUGCUUUGAAAUCUAUGGCUCCAACGAAGGCCUCAGAAUCGGAUGGGCUUCCUAUUUUGUUUUAUAAAAAAUACUGGCAUAUCAUUGGUGUUGAUGUUGGUCAAUAUUGUCAUGGCAUCUUAAACAGGGCAUGUCUUUUGCGGCAAUUAAUAUUACUCACAUUGUUCUGAUUUCGAAAGUUUUGAAUCCAACCUGCAGACAACAGUUUCGAUCUAUUAGUUUAUGUGUUGUCUGGUAUAAAAUCAAGUCAAAAGUCCUGGUCAAUAUAUUUCAAUCAGUUUUGCACUUGUGUGUUGAUGAGGCUUAAAGUGCAUUCAUUACUAGGAGGUUGAUUACGAAUAAGCAUUCAUUCCUAGGAGGCUGAUUACGAAUAACAUUAUUUUGGCCUAUGAAAUCUUUAAUGUGUUUUGAUGAAAAAGUAAUGGGACAAAAGGUCACUUUGCCUUAACGUUGAAUAUGAAUAAGGCUUACGAUAGGGUGGAAUGGGAUUUUUUGAAGCAAAUGAUGUUGAAAAUAGGGUUUUCCAACCGCUGGGUGAAUCUUCUUCUUCAUUGUGAUCACUUUAUUACUUACUCAGUGACCAUGAAUGGGGAGGUGGGCCGUCAGUUUUCCCCAGGGCGGGGACGUCGGGAGGGAGACCCACUUAGUCUAUACCUUUUUCUUAUCUGCUAUGAAAGGUUGUCCUCCCUUAUGCAAUAAGCGCUACGUGAUAAUAUGGUUCAUGGGGCUCAAAUUAGUCGUGGAGGCCCACUGAUUUCGCACUUGCUAUUCGCAAAUGAUUGUAUACUUUUUGAGGAGGCCACGAUUGAGGGUGCAUUAGUAUUAAAACAAAUUCUUUCCAUGUAUGGGUGAUCCUUAGGGCAGUGUCUCAAUUUUGACAAGUUCGUUAUUUAUCUCAACUCCAAUGUUGAAGAGUUUCUUGCAGCUUCUAUUUUUACUUGUUUAGGGGUCCGAAUCUAUACUGAGCUUGAGAGGUAUUUGAGAUUGCCUAAUAUGGUAGGGUGUGUUAAACAAUAAGUUUUUCAAGGGUUGAAAGACUGUAUGCGCUCCUAAAUCAAAAAUUGGUGUGUCAAGACGUUGUCUAAAGGUGGGAAGGAAGUUUUUAUCAAGAGCAUCUUACAAGCUAUCCCUACUUUUACUAUGUCUUGUUUUCUAUUACUUGCAUCUUUUUGCACUAAUUUGGAAAAAAUUAAUUAGUCAAUUUUGGUGAAAACAGAAUGGAGGUCGAGGCGGUAUGUAUUGGUGUGCUUGGCCUAAACUAUGCGCUUUGAAGCCCGAUGGUGGCUUGGGAUUCCAGGAUUUGGAAAAGUUUAAUAUUGCUCUGUUGGAAAAACAAGGUUUGUGUUUGAUUAAAAACCUAUUUUCUUUGUUAGCUUGUGCCAUAAAAGCAAAAUAUUACCCACGUGAUUUUAUGCAUGCUAGUUUGAGAGCUUACCCUUCUUACCUAUGGAAGAGUAUCUGGUCUACGAAGGGGUUGUUGCAUAUAGGCCUUUGUUGGCGCGCGGGAACAGGAUCCAAUAUAUGGAUCUUGGAUGAUGUUUGGAUUUCGAGCUUGCCUGAUAGAUGUUUGCAACAAACUGGGGUUAGUUCCCCAUAUUUACUUUUUUCGGAGUUCAUUAGUCAUUAUUCAAGGCAAUAGGACGAGCAAAGACUUACCAGUGUCCUGGGCUGAGCCAUUGCAAAUAGGGUGUUAUGUAUUCCCCUUGCUCAGGAUGCCCAUGAAGACUUCUUAGUUGGGGGGUUGAGCCUUCAGGAAAAUUCUAUGUCUGUAAUGGUUAUAGACUCCUUAUUCUUCGAACUAUUUUGAGACUACAGACUCUUAUAAACUAUUUUACAACAAAUUAUGGUAGUUGUAACUUCCGACAAAAAUCAAAACUAUAGUAUGGCGAAUUUUCAACAAUUUUAUUCCUAACUACUAUAACCUAUAUAACAGAAGAUUGCGGGCAUCCACUAUGUGCCCUUGUGUCUCUGCCGAGACUCUGGAACAUAUUUUUCGCAAUUGCCCUUCGAUUUUGGAUAUUUGGGAGUCCUACACAUUACGUGGCCAAAUGAAUUAUCGGAUGUCUCAUUUCAUGAUUGGCUACUGUAUGUUUUCACUGUGUCUACUGGUGAGGUUAUUUGGGAAAUGGUGUGUACUUUGCGGUUUAUUUGGCAUGCGCGGAAUUGACAGAUUCAUGACAAUGAUAUUAUCCAAAUGCAUUUAAUUGUUCGUAGGGUACAGGUCUAUCUAUUGGAAUAUGACGCGGUAAAUGAGAAGUUACCUGGUUGACUGAUCGGUGUUGAGCGGUGGCGGCCUCCGAAUCUAACAUGUGUAAAAGUGAACUUUGAUGUUGUUUUCCAUGCGUCUGCAAAGACUUCCUGUGCGGGUAUUGUCAUUAGGGAUCAUUUGGGCAUGGUGAUGGGUCCACAAUCAGUGGUCACGUACCUUCGUCUUUUGCUGCAGAGGCCCUGGCUUGCUAUCAUGGAUUCGACUGGUUCUGGGGCUGGGGUUGCAUGAGGCUAUUUUUGAAGGUGAUUCUCUCAUGGCGAUCCGCAAGAUCCUAUCUCCUUAUCAUGAUAUGUCGGCCCUUGGGCCUUACAUCAAAGGUAUCAAUGCAAUGGCUGUGUAGUUUCGUUGGUGUUGAUUCGUGCAUGUUCCCCGAGCUACAAAUCAGGUGGCCCAUCUAUUGGUAGCUGCGAGUCUCCCGGGAGGGGAUCAUGCUUAAUAGGCGGGAGGGGUGCCUCUCUUUGCUUCGACAAUAGUGGAUAAUGAUAGUUGUGCCUUCCGAUCGGAUGAGUGUGGGAGAUGGAGUAUCUUUUUACAAGGAUCUGAUUCGGGGGUGGGGAUUGGAGGUGGGAGGAGCUCAAGAGUUUGUGGAAUCCGCGGGGUUGGGGAAGAGUUUGAUCGUCUCUGUUGGGGUACAGGUUCUCGUUCGUUAAUCAAGCCUCUUGGGUGUGGUAGGUAGUGGUUCGACGAUCUCUUAACGGUUACCGGAGAAGAUUUUCUGAUCUGUCGACAUCAGUGGCGUCCCUUCAGCUUUUUGUUUUCUUUCUAGAAGGUUUAGAUGACAACUCAAAAUUAGGAUUUGGCAUUGCUGUUUUUGCCUUUUGUUUGGGCUGUUUAAUCUGGACUUUUGUUUGGGUUUUUAGGGUUUUUUUUUGGAUUUAUUUUUUUUCUUUGUUUUUGGACUGUUUUCUGUACUAGUUUCGUUUUUAAUCAAAGCCCAGUUUCCUUUAAAAAAAAAUAUUUCAUCAACUAUUUGGUCAUCUUAUUCCUUUCUUAAACUCUCCUUUCUCAUUCGCAAACAGUUGAUUUGAAUUAAAUGUUUGUAUUAAAUUUUCAUUCAUUCAACCACAACUAGAGCAACCCA
rnacentral:lncRNA from 1 species